rnacentral:lncRNA from 12 species
GUAUCGCUUGCUGACAUUUUUGGUCACUGGUGGCUUCAGUGAUGACAGUGUACUCAUGUUAGGCCUUGAAAACAGAAUGAAACCACCCACAAAUUGGCUUCAGUUUCUACUUAAGUAAGCAUGUUUCAACAGAUUUUUAAAAAAGAAGAAAGAAAAGAAAAGGGAGAGAGUGCCUUGGUAAGAAGAUUGUGAUUCUAAUUCUAGUUUCUUCUCCAGAUAAGAAUGCCUCAGGUCUAUCGUUGGCUUUCUAUCAUUUGAUAAAGUUAAUUCAUCUAUCAAGGUGGAAGGUGGAAGCUAAGUGGCCUGGCCCAUGUAACAAAUCUAAGCCUAAGAAGUUAACACUUAAACAACCCCACUGCUAAUAAGAGAAUGAAAGCAGUUAAACCACGGGGAAUUCUGGCUUUCUCAUCUAUGAUCAAAGAAGAUAAUUAAAAGAGUGUCAGAAAAAUCUUCAUGGAAAUUAUAAACUUUCCUUGGAUUUUCCUCCUUUGGGUAAGUGUACCGUAUUUGAAGAAAAUGUCCUCAUUUGGAAUGGUUAAUUAAUAAUAUGAAUCAACACAUAACUUGCUUGUGGUAGUUAAUCAAUGCAUAUAUUGAUCUAAAACAAUUGUGAAACAUGAAGUCAAUAUGUCUUUGCUAUAGAAUACAGUUUUCUUUUUCAGGUAAUGUAAAGAUGGCAGCUAGUGCUAGACAGUUGACUGCCUAAAU